UACGUAGGGCGCAAGCGUUGUCCGGAAUUAUUGGGCGUAAAGAGCUCGUAGGCGGUUUGUCGCGUCUGUCGUGAAAGCUUGGGGCUUAACCCCAAGUCUGCGGUGGAUACGGGCAGACUAGAGACAGGUAGGGGAGAACGGAAUUCCCGGUGUAGCGGUGAAAUGCGCAGAUAUCGGGAGGAACACCGGUGGCGAAGGCGGUUCUCUGGGCCUGUACUGACGCUGAGGAGCGAAAGCGUGGGGAGCGAACAGG
rnacentral:rRNA from 1 species